rnacentral:rRNA from 1 species
UUAAGCGACUAAGCGUACACGGUGGAUGCCCUGGCAGUCAGAGGCGAUGAAGGACGUGCUAAUCUGCGAAAAGCGUCGGUAAGGUGAUAUGAACCGUUAUAGCCGGCGAUGUCCGAAUGGGGAAACCCAGUGUGAUUCGUCACACUAUCGUUAACUGAAUACAUAGGUUAACGAGGCGAACCGGGGGAACUGAAACAUCUAAGUACCCCGAGGAAAAGAAAUCAACCGAGAUUCCCCCAGUAGCGGCGAGCGAACGGGGAGCAGCCCAGAGUCUGAAUCAGCUUGUGUGUUAGUGGAACGGUCUGGAAAGUCCGACGGUACAGGGUGAUAGUCCCGUACACCAAAAUGCACAGGCUGUGAACUCGAAGAGUAGGGCGGGACACGUGGUAUCCUGUCUGAAUAUGGGGGGACCAUCCUCCAAGGCUAAAUACUCCUGACUGACCGAUAGUGAACCAGUACCGUGAGGGAAAGGCGAAAAGAACCCCGGCGAGGGGAGUGAAAAAGAACCUGAAACCGUGUACGUACAAGCAGUGGGAGCACCUUCGGGUGUGACUGCGUACCUUUUGUAUAAUGGGUCAGCGACUUAUAUUCUGUAGCAAGGUUAACCGUAUAGGGGAGCCGCAGGGAAACCGAGUCUUAACUGGGCGUUAAGUUGCAGGGUAUAGACCCGAAACCCGGUGAUCUAGCCAUGGGCAGGUUGAAGGUUGGGUAACACUAACUGGAGGACCGAACCGACUAAUGUUGAAAAAUUAGCGGAUGACUUGUGGCUGGGGGUGAAAGGCCAAUCAAACCGGGAGAUAGCUGGUUCUCCCCGAAAGCUAUUUAGGUAGCGCCUCGUGAACUCAUCUUCGGGGGUAGAGCACUGUUUCGGCUAGGGGGUCAUCCCGACUUACCAACCCGAUGCAAACUACGAAUACCGAAGAAUGUUAUCACGGGAGACACACGGCGGGUGCUAACGUCCGUCGUGAAGAGGGAAACAACCCAGACCGCCAGCUAAGGUCCCAAAGUCAUGGUUAAGUGGGAAACGAUGUGGGAAGGCACAGACAGCCAGGAUGUUGGCUUAGAAGCAGCCAUCAUUUAAAGAAAGCGUAAUAGCUCACUGGUCGAGUCGGCCUGCGCGGAAGAUGUAACGGGGCUAAACCAUGCACCGAAGCUGCGGCAGCGACACUAUGUGUUGUUGGGUAGGGGAGCGUUCUGUAAGCCUGCGAAGGUGACCUGUGAGGGUUGCUGGAGGUAUCAGAAGUGCGAAUGCUGACAUAAGUAACGAUAAAGCGGGUGAAAAGCCCGCUCGCCGGAAGACCAAGGGUUCCUGUCCAACGUUAAUCGGGGCAGGGUGAGUCGACCCCUAAGGCGAGGCCGAAAGGCGUAGUCGAUGGGAAACAGGUUAAUAUUCCUGUACUUGGUGUUACUGCGAAGGGGGGACGGAGAAGGCUAUGUUAGCCGGGCGACGGUUGUCCCGGUUUAAGCAUGUAGGCUGGUUAUCCAGGCAAAUCCGGAUAAUCAAGGCUGAGGUGUGAUGACGAGGCACUACGGUGCUGAAGUAACAAAUGCCCUGCUUCCAGGAAAAGCCUCUAAGCAUCAGGUAACAUCAAAUCGUACCCCAAACCGACACAGGUGGUCAGGUAGAGAAUACCAAGGCGCUUGAGAGAACUCGGGUGAAGGAACUAGGCAAAAUGGUGCCGUAACUUCGGGAGAAGGCACGCUGGUGUGUAGGUGAAGUCCCUGCGGAUGGAGCUGAGACCAGUCGAAGAUACCAGCUGGCUGCAACUGUUUAUUAAAAACACAGCACUGUGCAAACACGAAAGUGGACGUAUACGGUGUGACGCCUGCCCGGUGCCGGAAGGUUAAUUGAUGGGGUUAUCCGUAAGGAGAAGCUCUUGAUCGAAGCCCCGGUAAACGGCGGCCGUAACUAUAACGGUCCUAAGGUAGCGAAAUUCCUUGUCGGGUAAGUUCCGACCUGCACGAAUGGCGUAAUGAUGGCCAGGCUGUCUCCACCCGAGACUCAGUGAAAUUGAACUCGCUGUGAAGAUGCAGUGUACCCGCGGCAAGACGGAAAGACCCCGUGAACCUUUACUAUAGCUUGACACUGAACAUUGAGCCUUGAUGUGUAGGAUAGGUGGGAGGCUUUGAAGCGUGGACGCCAGUCUGCGUGGAGCCAACCUUGAAAUACCACCCUUUAAUGUUUGAUGUUCUAACGUUGGCCCCUUAUCGGGGUUGCGGACAGUGUCUGGUGGGUAGUUUGACUGGGGCGGUCUCCUCCCAAAGCGUAACGGAGGAGCACGAAGGUUAGCUAAUCCUGGUCGGACAUCAGGAGGUUAGUGCAAUGGCAUAAGCUAGCUUGACUGCGAGCGUGACGGCGCGAGCAGGUGCGAAAGCAGGUCAUAGUGAUCCGGUGGUUCUGAAUGGAAGGGCCAUCGCUCAACGGAUAAAAGGUACUCCGGGGAUAACAGGCUGAUACCGCCCAAGAGUUCAUAUCGACGGCGGUGUUUGGCACCUCGAUGUCGGCUCAUCACAUCCUGGGGCUGAAGUAGGUCCCAAGGGUAUGGCUGUUCGCCAUUUAAAGUGGUACGCGAGCUGGGUUUAGAACGUCGUGAGACAGUUCGGUCCCUAUCUGCCGUGGGCGCUGGAGAAUUGAGGGGGGCUGCUCCUAGUACGAGAGGACCGGAGUGGACGCAUCACUGGUGUUCGGGUUGUCAUGCCAAUGGCACUGCCCGGUAGCUAAAUGCGGAAGAGAUAAGUGCUGAAAGCAUCUAAGCACGAAACUUGCCCCGAGAUGAGUUCUCCCUGAGACUUUAAGUCUCCUGAAGGAACGUUAAAGACGAUGACGUUGAUAGGCCGGGUGUGUAAGCGCAGCGAUGCGUUGAGCUAACCGGUACUAAUGAACCGUGAGGCUUAACCU